rnacentral:lncRNA from 1 species
ACACACUGGGGAUUUGACCUCUAUCUCCACUCUCAUUAAUAUGGGUGGCCUAUUUGCUCUUAUUAAAAGGAAAGGGGGAGAUGUUGGGAGCCACGCCCACAUUCGCCGUUACAAGAUGGCGCUGACAGCUGUGUUCUAAGUGGUAAACAAAUAAUCUGCGCAUGUGCCGAGGGUGGUUCUUCACUCCAUGUGCUCUGCCUUCCCCGUGACGUCAACUCGGCCGAUGGGCUGCAGCCAAUCAGGGAGUGACACGUCCGAGGCGAAGGAUAAUUCUCCUAAAAAAGGGACGGGGUUUCGUUUUCUCUCUCUCUUGCUUCUUACGCUCUUGCUUCUUGCACUCUGGCUCCUGAAGAUGUAAGCAAUAAAGCUUUGCCGCAGAAGAUUCUGGUCUGUGGUGUUCUUCCUGGCCGGUCGUGAGAACGCGUCUAAUAACAGCCCAACAACUCCAUUGUUCUUGACUUCUUCGGGCUCUAGCCAGACUCUCCAAAGACAGGGUUGCAUUCCCUUUCCAGUAUGGUCCAUGGAAAACAUGCAGAGGAAAUGGCCCCACAGCAUUGGCUGAGUGUUUAUGUCGUCCAACCGAGUCUCCAUCGAACUGUUGUGGUGUUGCUGACUUGCCCUAGGUCACCUGAGUUAAAAGGGUUGCAUUCCCUUUCCAGCAUGGUCCAUGGAAAACAUGCAGAGGAAAUGGCCUCACAGCAUUGGCUGAGUGUUUAUGUCGUCCAACUGAGUCUCCAUCGAACUUUUCUGGUGUUGCUGACUUGCCCUAGGUCACCUGAGUUAAAAGGGUUGCAUUCCCUUUCCAGUAUGGUCCAUGGAAAACAUGCAGAGGAAAUGGCCCCACAGCAUUGGCUGAGUGUUUAUGUCUUCCAACCGAGUCUCCAUUGAACUGUUGUGGUGUUGCUGACUUGCCCUAGGUCACCUGAGUUAAAUGUCCUUAGAGUGACCUGAGGACCCAGCAAACACUUGAGAGCAAAGGGCAUGGCACGAUCACAUCCAAGG